rnacentral:lncRNA from 1 species
GAUAGGAUGGAGCGUAAAAUGCACCCAUUGUCAAUAAGUUAAUAAAUUCACAUGGUAUGGAAAAUGCAACAAUUGCUAAAAGAGUUGUUCUUAUACCACUUGGAACAUAGCAGAUAAGAAGAACUAAAAAAGAACCGAAUUCUGAGCCUUUGAUUGUUGUGAGUUAACCUUAGGAUCAUUUUUUUUUUGUUUGUCUGUUUGUGGGUGGGGUGGGGGGUAGACUGGUGGAGUCUGCUGAAUACCUACCGUGUAAAAUACUUCUGGUUCACCUAGAUUGACUGAGCACCUGCAUGUGGUUUUGCGGUAUCCUGAGUUUUUUUUUUGAAAACUCCUGUGUGUGUGGUGAGGUGUAAUCUAGUUCGUAUCUGGUCUUCAAUGUAAUCUAGUUUUUAUCUUGGCUUCAAUGUAAUUGAGUUCUUACCAAAUGUAAUCAAGUUGUUAAUAUAAUCAAGUUCUUCCCUUUUCUUCAAUGUAAUGGAGUUCUUCUGCGUAAUAAACUUUAUAUGGAAGUGAAUGGAGAUUGUUUUUCCCGAGUGUCUGCAAAUAUUGUUCUGUCCAAGCCAUUUUACCUGGUGGCAGUUUAAAUAGCUUUGGUAACUUGCAAAUUGCAUGGCAAACCUAUUCUUUGUUUUCUGCUUUGAUGCGCUCACAUCCGAUUCCAAGCUUCGCACACCGGGAACAGGUCUUUCAAUUGGCAAAGGAUUAACCAUUAGCAUUUAUGUGUCUGUAAAAAUUCAGUUCAAUUCAUCUGGUUAUGCAAAUUCUGAAUCAUGAGGUUGAAAAUUUAUGGAGGCAUACAUCAGAAACAGCUCUUGCCGCAUCGUGAACAGAUAAGAUAGCCAGACCUGGAAGGUUUUUGUUGCUGCUGAACAAAACGGCAGCUGAGAGCGAGAACAUGUUUGGUUCCUGCAGCAAGGCUGACGUCACCUUGCCAAAACGAGAUUUAUGGAGCAAGCAGGACAUUCGGAUUGGGAACAGAUCCUCUGGUAUGUCAGAGGGACGUUGAAGCCGCAGGUCCCUCAUUGCCCAUCCAAAUUGCAGGCAGUGACGCCGCAGAAAACAGGGUGGAGCUGUAGGCCCAGGAGCAUGGAGGAAAAAUGGCGUGAGGCCAAUGGAAAAGGGCGCAGAGGAGUUGAUUGCUGGAAGGGACGACCUUCUCUGCUCUUCUAUCUUGUAUGUAAGUCUUCUGCUCUACCUUCUCCUGCUGUCUUCAGCAUGAAUGGCUCACUGGUAUUGAUAUAACUUCCAUCAUCAGAUUGCUUUGAACUUGAUCGAGCUUCCCCUUUCCUCAUGAAAGAAGCAGCCAGUUGAAAUUGUAUUAUGUAGUAUUGGGAUGGAAGACGAGGCAAAACUGAGCACCAUGAUUCCAAUACGUAAGUAAUACAACCCCACUCUGUUAUUUAUUAUGUGACAUCAAAUGGAUAUUAGUUGUUUCAAUCUCAUGUACUGCUAUUCCUUGCUUGUGCUCUGCAAUUGCACAAGUCUCCUGCUCAUGUUAUUUUUCUGUUGCAGAGCUACGCUACGGCUCCUAUCAGCUGUCCAAGCAAUGGUGAGUAUGUAAGCCCUUUAGUACUACUACACCAUCCACUUUGUAUUGCAAGUUCGACAUGUCUGUAAUUACAACUAUGUGGUAUUCAGAAUGGCACAUUGCAGCAGUGCGAAGUGGCCUCUUGUAGGCCAGUCUUGCAUAGGUGCUAGUAUUAGUUUGCAUUAGUUCAGGUUUUUUGGAUCUUAUGUAAGGUAGUCAUUUGCAGUAGUUAUUUGAUAUAGGUGCUGAGAUCUUGAGUUUCAUAGAAAUAUUUAUUUGAGAAAGGUUUCAUCAUCAGUCCCAAAUGAUGUAAACAUUAAAUUCAGAGCCGCUUUGAGGUUUACCCUGAUUGGUAUAUUCAUUGUGUUGCAACUGGAUUUGGAUUGCUUAAUACUGCAUAUAGAAUAACAUGGUUAUUAGAGGGUUACAUGGUUGUUGCUGAAACUGUGGCAGCAAAAGAAUACCUUUUUUCUAUUUGUCAACAAGUCAAAUAUGGACAACACAUACUGAUUAAAUUGGAAUAAUAAAGGUUGAAAAAAAUUGCUUCCUCCUCUCUGUUGAUUUAACACACUGUACUGUUGUUUUUCAGUCCUUAUGUUAACAAAAACUCGACCACAAGAGGAGACUCCCCCCGAGCUUUGUUCUAAGAAGUUGCCGUGCUUCGAAUCCGGGUCGGGACAGGAGUUUCAUCGACUCCUGGAGUUCAACGCUCUAACUGGUCCACCGCGAGAAGCUUGGCAGUAUGCCAGUAUGUCCUUAUGUCAACACAAGUAGGAUUAGCUAGCUGGCUGCAAUUGACUAAUUAGCCCAGCUGAUUUAUCAAAUUAAUUGAAAAACGAUAAUUUCCUCGUGCAUGUUAGGUUUAAAAUAUCAUUUUCCUGCUGCAACAAUGAGUGAUAGUCUCAGAAAGCUCGAUGUAAGAUUACCUGCACAAAAAUACAGACAUCAAUUUAUUUUUUUUAUCAUUGAUGGUCUAAUACUGCAUGUUUGCUUUGAUUACCACGUCAACUGGUUGUGGCAAGUUGCCUGUUCGUUGCUGCAUUGAUGCAGGAUGGCCGCCCGGUGGCGUGACCUCUUCAUGUCCAGGUCUGCGCGUGUCAAUGGAAAAAAAGGUAAGAAAUCCCAACCGGUGCCUGCUUCCUUCUAAAUUAUCCCAAUUAUUUUUGUUCCUUUCAAGCAUUGAAGUGUUCAAGUGAAAUUGCAAGUUAGAGGAAAAUUUAAGCUUAGUGGGACUUAGUUGUGAUAUUUCUUUAGCAUGUGUGAUAAUAUGUGAUUGAAAUUUGAAUCAGCUAUGAUUGACAAGUAAUUGAUGGAAGAAUUUAUAAGAGGACGUUGCAGAUAGUGACAGCAAUGAUUUCAUGUCUAGAGGAAAUGAAGAAUGCCAUUCUAUAUUUUUCCUUUGGGGAAAUUUAGUACUGUGGUAUUGUAUUUCAUAUACUACCUCGUUCUUAAAUAUAUGACACCAUUGACUUUGUUUCAUUCGUUUGACUAUUCAUCUUUUCUCCAAAUAUUUUUACAAAUAGAUAAAUCUACAUGUUAAAUCUAAAGUACUUUAGACAAUAGACAUAAUGGUACUCAUUUUACUUUAUUUAACUAAUUCAUUAAAUAGAUGUUGGUCAAAGUUGGAGCAAAAAGUGAACAACAUCAUAUAUUUAAGAACGGAGUGAGUAUAAAAUUAAUAAAUAAAUAAAGUGUUACAGUAGCGUAGUGGAGCACAAAACCACAAAAAGGCCAAGUGAAGGAAAGAAGAGAGAGGUCAGAGAAACAACUUUACAGAAGGCUAUUCGGCCAGAUGGAUACAUUUAUGACUAAAAGGACUAAAUCUGUGCAGGUGAAUCUUUACAGUAUCCAGAAAGCAAAUUUUCCAAGAUAUGAAUGGAGACUAAGGUCUUUUGAAGAUUUGUUCAUUUCUCUGUUUCCAAAUUUCGUGCUGAGAUAGUGAAGAUUUUCAUGAAAAAUUGGUGCUGAUCUUAGCUUUCUUAAUUGUAGCAAAGAAUCUGGUAGUGAUCCCAUGAUAUACCAACGAAGUUCCAACAUCUACUGCUGAAACCAACAUCUACUGCUGAAAGGACAUUCAAAGAACAGGUGAUAUGUGGUUUCCUCUAGAUUUAGGUUGCAUAGCAUGCAGUGACAAUUUUCCCCAUCAAUCUUGUAGUUUCUUCUUCUUAGUAGUUUCUGGAACUCAGUCUAUCUUUGAAGAUUAGCCACAUGAAGAUUUUUAGCUUUUUGGUCAUUUUAGCUUUCAAGAUCCAAUCGAAAGGAGUUGGAGGUGUAAUAGAUCUGAAUGAUAGCAGAUAAUACUUUCUUGAAGAGUAAUUUCUAUUCCCCAAACUGUAUUGCCAACUGUCUGUUUCAUUGCUUUGCUGCUGUAUUUGUUCAACUUUGCUUUGCAAAAUUUGCAGUUCCUCCGAUGCCUGCUGGGAUAGUGUUUAUAUGAAAGUGUAUCUGUGGAGUGCUAUCUGCCAGAAACGGAGCACAUUUUUUUUUUGUAAAGGAGAAUAAUCUAGGUAGUUGAUCCCUAAGAUAAGAUCCACUCCAAACAUCAUUCCACAUCAGUAUUGCCAGUUGGAUGCUUUAUUUUCCCUAUGGAGAUCAUCUUUUAUCUAUGAUCUUUGCUAACAAUAUUAUAGUAGCUCAUUAGUUUGGUAAAAAUUGCCUGGUGCAUUGUUAUUUAGACAAUAUUGCUUUAAGACGGUAUUUUGUUAUGUUUGCGAUAAAAUACCAUACCCUUCCUGGCUAACUGGAACCUCUUAAUUUCUUUUCAUGAAAUCAAGGAGCAUAUAGUCACUAACAAUUAAGCGACAUAUAUGAAUAUACGAUGUUUAGUCCGAAUUAUGAAUAAAUGAAAUUUCUGAAGCAGAACAUAGGCCACUGCCGAUGUCCAGUGGCGGAUCCAGGACUCGGGCUGCCUAGGCUGCAGCCUGGAUCAAAGGCUUGAAAAACAAUGGAGAUACAAGACAAAUUGUACAAAUGAUAGAUGUUUGAUAGAUGUGCAAAACACUUGAUCUUGUAUUAAGCUCGGACCAUGCCACACCCUGAAAUUUUCGAAUUUCAUGAUGUGAUUAAAAGAAAUAAUUAAACAACGAUUUUCUAUAAUUUAAAAUUUUUGCCAACAUUUAUUUUCUUUACAGAAAAUGUAGUAUAGGAAAAGUAAUUGCUUGUUUUUCGGAAUUAAAUAAUGUUGUUCUCUGUCUGUGCAUUCAUGCUGAUGCAUCUUGGUGUUUCAUGAGUGAAAAAGUUUUAAAAAUGUGUUUAGACGUUGUCCAAAUUCUUUUGAGAAUUUUCCAGUUUUUCUGGAAUUUAUUCUCCUUUUCCUUGAGCUUAAUCCAAUUUUUUGGAUGGUUCUAGAAUCCUUUUUCACGAGCUCAAAUAUUUUAUUUGGGUUCCUCGUGUCCCAAUCUAUCUAUGGUAUUUUUCCUAGAAUUUUUGGAAUUUCCAGAACAUUUUUCGUGGUUUAAAUGAUUUAUCUAGAAUUUUCUGGAUUUAUCUUUACAUGCGAAAUGAUUUCUGAAAAUAAUCUUUCUAUCCUUUUCCUUUGGGCUGAGCCUUGGGCCCGACCCACACCAGCCCAGCAAGCCAUCAUCCUUUUUCUUCUGCCGACCCAGCCCAACUCCCUCCCUUUCUCUCACUGACUGGUGGGCCCCACCUGUCGGGCUUCUCUUCAACCUUCGACUGGCGCCACCGCUUGAGCUCCAGCGCCCAAGCACCACUCGAUCUUUCGUCGCCCUGGCUUCCCGGCGCCCCUCGGCUCCCCACGACCCUACGCCUCCCACACGCAAGCCGCUACCCCUCGUUUCUCCUCCCUACGGUGGAAACUGCCGCUCCACCAACCCGCCGCCAUGAAUGGCACCGCCGCCACCGCGAUUCAAGUCCAGGCGCCUCAACUCCCUUCCUCCACCCCUAUAAAGCGCCCGCGCCUCCUAGGGCCUCCCGCUGCCGCUUCUCCUUGGCGCCGCUGCGCUAACGCCCCUGCAUCGCUCCGCAGCGCCGCCGCCCACAUCUCCGACCACCACCGGCCAAAUCCCGCGCCACCACUCCAGCUGUCGUCGCCUUGCUCCUUCGCCAAGCGCCGCCGCACCAAGCCUCCGGUAGUCGCUUACCGCGAACCCCGCAGCUGCGCCCCUCGGUCGCCGGCCGUUGACUGCCGGAAGGAGCCUCCCAUGGGGUGUGGUGGUCAGGCUUGAACUAAGGAUGGCAAUGGGUAAAUCCCCAUCGGGUAUAGCCAUCCCAGACCCAUCCCCGCUAUAAAAAUUUGAGACCGUUAGAAUCCCUGUACCCAGUAUGGGUGGGGACCCAUACCCGACCGGGUAAAUCAUACCCGGUGGGUCACCCGUACCCGCCAAUAGUUUAUUCACGACGUCGACGAGCUCGGGAUCCAGCGGCUUCAGGCAGUCACCGUCCUCCAAGACCUCCAUGAUGUCCCUUGACGUCGGAGUGAACGAGCUGGUUAGUGCGAGGGAGAAGGACUGAAGGAGGCAAGGAGCGCCCGACGCCUGCAAAGCAUAUGAAGGGGAGAAGGAGAAUGGAGAAGCAAGAAUCACCGUCCAUUGAUGCUUCCUUACUCCGUUGGCAACAUGGCGUCGGAUGUGGUGGCUUCCUGGCGCUUGGAUUUGGAUGGAGUGCCGACAACGAGUCAACGAUGCAAAAGCAAAACGAGGUCAUGAGGGGGGCACAACCGCAUAGGCAGCAAGGCGUUGUUCGCUUGUUUUUUUUGCGGCGGCGUGGCGAGUAGGAGUAGCGACUAGCGAAGCGAGCGUCGUGCGCUUUUUUUUCGACGGCCGGCAGGGGACCAGUGGUCCGCUGGUGGCUGGGUAGGAUAGGGUUGGGAGGGGUGGGGAAUGGGGAUAAGAUUAUAUACCUAGGGUUAGCUUAUAGGCUAGUGGGCUUCUCUACUUUUUGGCCAGGUAUUUUUCACACAUGGGUUAACGGGUAUGGGGACUGCUGGAACAUACCCAUACCCGCGUACCCGAUGGGUGAAGGGUUUGGUCCAUUUACAUACCCGUGGGUAUUGUGUUUAGUCUAUAUUCAGACUGUAAUGGAGUAAAUAUCCGUCGGGUAUCAGGUCCCCAUUGCCAUCUUUAGCUUGAACUGUCGGUUGGAGGAUUGUAGGAGAAGAUAAGGUGUCUUUGCAAUAAAGCCCCUGCAAAACUUGUAAAUCUCUACCUCUUUCUUUGUGUCUUGCACCUUUCAUAGAAAAGCCCUCGAAAUCUUCAGUUUCUUGGAAUCUAAUCCAAGCCUUGACUUUUUGCAGAUCUAGCCCUAGGUUUUUAGCUUUUCGCAGGUCCUGUUCUCUGAGUCUUGGUAAUCUUCUGUGCUAACCCCUGAGAUCUACGGUUAAUCUUGUUUAGGUUCUUAGAACCUUACUUAGUCCCUAGAUUCCACGUUUUAGCUCCGUUUUAAUCUGUUUAAGAUGCAUUGCGUUCAUAACAGCUUAAAAUACACGUUAGUAGUGAUAUCAUCCUACAUUUCAUGUCUUUAAAAAUAAAUUUAGUAUUAAUUUGAUUAAUGCCUAAUGAACAUGCGUUUCUCUAAAUAAAAGUUACCAAGGGUCAUACACCGUUUUUCAUAAUAAAGAUCAAUAAUCCAAUUAGGUUAUACACCGGUUUUUCAUAAACCAAAGAUAAGUUGAUUAAUGCUUAUUUAAAUAAUUCUUCCAAUUAAAAGCCAUAUAGAGUUAAAUUGAUUAAUGCUUAUUUGAUUAAUAUUUAUUCAAUUUGCUUUCUAAAUAAAAGCUUAUAAGAUUUUCCGUUAAAAAUAAUAUCAUUUUAAAAAAAUCCCCGGCCAACGCGGUUGCUCAUCGGAGUCAUCGCUCAUCAGCAGCUCAGCACCGCAACAGCAGGAAGCUAGCCCAACUGGUGACAGGUGGGGCCUACCUAAUUUAGCGUCAAAAUCAAAAUCACUUCCAGUCUUCCACCUGAGAGUCGGACUCGGACUCGGACUCGGAGCCAGCCAGGCAUGAGGAUAUGGUGGCGCCGCCCGUACGCCUCCGCCGCCUUCCUCCGCCGCCACCGCAUCUAUGCAAUACAAAUCCAAAUCCUCGGAUCCAAUCUCAAAUCAUCCGCGAAACAAUUCUCUCGGCAACCUAGAUCGCCCGCAUCGCGUUCAAUUCCUCCCAGCAACCACCGCAAAGGAGAGCCUUGCUCCCAAGAACCACAGCAGAUCCGGCGAACGAGAUGCUCUGCCUCCCCUCCUCCUCCGCAUUCCGGCCGGCCGAUCCGGCGGCGCGUGGCGCCAUGGCUUCGCAGCAGCAGCGCCAGAGCUUUCCUCACGCCUCCACUGCAGCUCGAGGCAUGCUCAGCUUCUCCUCCGCCGCACCGUCCGGGCCGGCAGAUCCUGCGGCGCAGCAGCAGGACUUCCGCAUGCGGGAGUUCGACUACUUCGUCGUCGUCGACUUCGAGGCUACCUGUGAGAAGGAUUCGCGCAUCUACCCGCAGGAAAUCAUCGAAUUUCCUGCGGUCCUCGUCGACGCCGCCACCGGCGGCCUGGUCUCCUCGUUCCGCACCUAUGUGAAGCCGCGGCACCACCCGGUCCUCACCGCUUUCUGCUCCGAGCUGACGGGGAUUCAGCAAGAGCAGGUCGACGGCGGCGUGGAUCUUGCAACGGCGCUGGCCUUGCACGACAAGUGGCUGGCGGCGGCGGGCGUAUCCAAGAACCGUCUCGCCAUCGUCACCUGGGGUGAUUGGGACUGCCGGACGAUGCUGAAGUUCGAAUGCAAUUUCAAGAACAUCUCCAAGCCAUCGUAUUUCAACCAGUGGGUUAACCUCCGGAUCCCCUUCGAGACCGCGUUUGGCGCUGGGCGGCGCAACCUGCAAGAAGCUGUCCGGGAGGCGGGUCUGCAGUGGGAUGGCCGCCUCCACUGCGGGCUCGACGACGCCCGCAACACAGCGCGUCUCCUUGUCGAGCUGAUGCGGCGGGGAGUCCGUAUCUCCAUAACCGGCUCUCUGGUGCCACCGCCUCUGCCAGAGCCAGAGCCGGAGCUGGAGCCUGAGCCGGAACUCCAACCUCAGGCACAGCUCUCACCGGUGAAUCGCAACUUAAGCUGGUGUGAUGAUGGCGCUGCUACUACUGACUGCUUCUACUGCUACUGCAGCGUUCCUAUCAGAGGCGGCGUGGUGACGAUGCCGGGACCAAUGCAAGGGCGAUUCUUUUUCACUUGUGGGAACUGGAUGCCGACAUGUCGUUUCUUCCACUGGGCAGCCUGAUUGCCGGCCGUCUGGACUCCGCAUCAUCAAUGACUAAGGUUAGAUAAGUACAACUCACUUCUACACACACAUGGAGAGCAUGCUUAGUUAGUGCUCAGGUAGGUGCCGCACUUGCUCAGGAGUUUGUGCUCUGUGAAUCUGUGUGAACCAGUUAGAAUUUUAGAUGGUUGGUAGCAGGGUCUGCCUCUCUGGGGUCUUGGAUGGUGAAUCCUGAUGAGGAAUAGGUGCCUGCAAUGAAGCUUGGCAUUACCUUUUCCUAAACAUAAAACUAGCUUAUUGUAAAUAAAGAGUUAACACAAAAUUGUUGCUCUCAAAUAUUAGUUGUUGGAGUAAUAACAAGGGUAAGACAUGUUAAGCUAGUUGGCUAUCCAUUUCAAGUUUUUAGCAUACAGGUCCAUAUAUUUGAAUAAUCAUGUAUACGAAACAUGAUCCUUUCUGUUCAUUUUUCUCUCUAAAAUAGCUUCAGGUUGCACUUGUUAUUCUCCAUCCACAUUCUUCAUGUCAGAUAGGAUUAUAAAUGCAGCCAUUGUCAAUAAGUUUAUAAAUUCACAUGGUAUGGAAAAUGUAACAAUUGCUAAAAGAGUUGUUUGUUUACCAAUUGGAACGUAGCAGAUAAAGAGGAACUAGAAAAGAACCGAAUUCUGAGCCCUUGAUCGUUGUGAGUUAACCUUAGGAUCAUUAUUUUUUUGUUUGUCUCUGUGUGGGUGGGGUGGGGGCUGGAACGGUGGAGGCAGUCUGCUGAGUACCUACCGUGUAAAAUACUUCUGGUUCACCUAGAUUGACCGAGCACCAGCAUGUGGUUUUGUGGUAUCCUAUGUUAGAUCUGAAUAGAAGCACUCCUGUGUGUGUUUUGAGGUGUCUAGGAUAUGACUACACGUUUUCAAUGUAAUCUAGUUCUUACCUGGUCUUCAAUGUAGUUUUUAUCUAGCCUUCAAUGUAAUUGAGUUCUUACCAAAUGUAAUUGACUUGUUACUCAAUAUAAUCAAGUUCUUACCUGUUCUUCAAUGUAAUGGAGUUCUUCUGCGUAAUAAACUUUAUAUGGAAGUGAAUGGAGAUUGUUUUCCCCAGUGUUUUGCAAAUAUUGUUCUGUCUUGCCAUUUUACCUUGUGACAGUUUAAAAAGCUUUGGUAACUUGCAAAUUGAAUGGUGAACCUAUUCUUACGUUUUCUGCAUUGAUGCGCUCACAUCCGAUUCCAAGCCUCGCACACUGGGAACAGGUAUUUCAAUUUGGCAAGGAUUAAUGAUUGGCAUGCAUGGGUUUGUAAAUAUUCAGCUUAGUUCCCUCUGGUUAUGUGAAUUUUGAAUCACGGGGUUGAUAGUUAUGGAGGCCAUACGUCAAAAAUAGCUCUUGCCGCAUUGUGAACAGUUAAG